rnacentral:tRNA from 1 species
AUGUGGCUGAAGUGGUAGCAUGCUCGCCUAGCAUGUGUGAGGCACUGGGUUCGAUUCUCAGCACCACAUA